rnacentral:rRNA from 1 species
UACAGAGGUCCCGAGCGUUGUUCGGAUUCACUGGGCGUAAAGGGUGCGUAGGUGGCAUAGAAAGUUUGAUGUGAAAGCUCAGGGCUUAACCCUGAAAUGGCAUUGAAUACUGCUGUGCUGGAGGUUUGGAGGGGGGACUGGAAUUCUUGGUGUAGCAGUGAAAUGCGUAGAUAUCAAGAGGAACACCAGUGGCGAAGGCGAGUCCCUGGACAACACCUGACACUGAGGCACGAAAGCUAGGGGAGCAAA